AUGGAAGGGCUCCUCCACUGGGACUUCAACCCCGGCCUCAAGGUCGAGGACCAGGUUCGUAGGUGUUUCAGAUCCACGGUCCAUUUCUCCCCGGCCUCCUCCUCCAAGGAGUCCUUCUUAGUGGUCACGUUUUCUUCUGCCUCUUUCCCCUUGUCCUGUGCAUCGGUUGGUUUGGCCCUACAAUGUUGCAUUGCAGGUAUUGCUGCUGGUUUCAAGGUUACAUCUAUUGGAGCAAUGAAUUUUCGGUUCUCGCUGGCUUUGAAUAAAGUGGGUCAUUUCAUCUAUGCCCUACGGGAUAGAGUUUGGCCAGACUUUGUUUGUCAUUUUGGUCUCUUUAAACAUCCUUGGAAUGUGCCAAUGGUGGAUCCAGUUGUGAAAAACACUCCACAUCUUGGGGGCAGCGCACCCAAAGCCAUUCGCACUAACCUGCAUUUUCUUGAGAAAAGUGCUUCUAAGGAUGUUUCAGCCUCUAAGGAGUUGGCCAAGUUUGGUCUUUGCAUACAACGUUCUAACAAUUUACUGAGCUCCAUCGAUGAGGUUUCUUCUCAACGUGGAUCUUCCCAGGAUAUUCAUCUCUUGGAUGAUUCUUCGCUCAACAAUGCAAAUUUUGAGAUCAUGCAAGGGGGUUUGAUUUUUGGCAGUUUGCAUAUUCCUGUUUCUUUGGAUCGUAUUGCCAACACUACCAGAAAAAUUCUUAGGUAA
rnacentral:rRNA from 1 species